rnacentral:rRNA from 1 species
GACGAACGCUGGCGGCGUGCUUAACACAUGCAAGUCGAACGGAAAGGCCCUGCUUUUGUGGGGUGCUCGAGUGGCGAACGGGUGAGUAACACGUGAGUAACCUGUCCUUGUCUUUGGGAUAACUUCAGGAAACUGGGGCUAAUACCGGAUAGGAGCUCCUGCUGCAUGGUGGGGGAUGGAAAGUUUCGGCGGUUGGGGAUGGACUCGCGGCUUAUCCGCUUGUUGGUGGGGUAGUGGCUUACCAAGGCUUUGACGGGUAGCCGGCCUGAGAGGGUGACCGGCGACAUUGGGACUGAGAGACGGACCAGACGCCUACGGGAGGCAGCAGUGGGGAAUAUUGCACAAUGGGCGGAAGCCUGAUGCAGCAACGCCGCGUGCGGGAUGACGGCCUUCGGGGUGUAAACCGCUUUCGCCUGUGACGAAGCGUGAGUGACGGUAAUGGGUAAAGAAGCACCGGCUAACUACGUG